rnacentral:rRNA from 1 species
UUUUUCCUCCUUUAUUCAGCAGUGAGGAAUAUUGGUCAAUGGUCGGGAGACUGAACCAGCCACGCCGCGUGAGGGAGGAAGGUACAGAGUAUCGUAAACCUCUUUUGUCAGGGAACAAAGACUGGGACGCGUCCCCGGAUGAGUGUACCUGAAGAAAAAGCAUCGGCUAACUCCGUGCCAGCAGCCGCGGUAAUACGGAGGAUGCGAGCGUUAUCCGGAUUUAUUGGGUUUAAAGGGUGCGCAGGCGGUCUGUUAAGUCAGCGGUCAAAGCCCGGGGCUCAACCCCGGCCCGCCGUUGAAACUGG